AUACUUACCUGGCAGGGAAGAUAUCAUGAUCCUGAAGGUGGUUUUUCCAUAAGCGAGGCUUAUCCAUUUCAAUCGGGAUAUGUUGACCACCUGUGAUUUCCCCAAAUGUGGGUAACUCGACUGCAUAAUUUGUGGUAGUGAAGGACUGUGCUGCACUCUCCCCUG